GAUGAACGCUAGCUACAGGCUUAACACAUGCAAGUCGAGGGGAAACGGCAUUGAGUGCUUGCACUCUUUGGACGUCGACCGGCGCACGGGUGAGUAACGCGUAUCCAACCUUCCCAUUACUGUGGGAUAACCUGCCGAAAGGCAGACUAAUACCGCAUGGUNUUCGAUGACGGCAUCAGAUUUGAAGUAAAGAUUUAUCGGUAAUGGAUGGGGAUGCGUCUGAUUAGCUUGUUGGCGGGGUAACGGCCCACCAAGGCAACGAUCAGUAGGGGUUCUGAGAGGAAGGUCCCCCACAUUGGAACUGAGACACGGUCCAAACUCCUACGGGAGGCAGCAGUGAGGAAUAUUGGUCAAUGGACGGAAGUCUGAACCAGCCAAGUAGCGUGCAGGAUGACGGCCCUAUGGGUUGUAAACUGCUUUUGUAUGGGGAUAAAGUUAGGGACGUGUCCCUAUUUGCAGGUACCAUACGAAUAAGGACCGGCUAAUUCCGUGCCAGCAGCCGCGGUAAUACGGAAGGUCCAGGCGUUAUCCGGAUUUAUUGGGUUUAAAGGGAGCGUAGGCUGGAGAUUAAGUGUGUUGUGAAAUGUAGACGCUCAACGUCUGAAUUGCAGCGCAUACUGGUUUCCUUGAGUACGCACAACGUUGGCGGAAUUCGUCGUGUAGCGGUGAAAUGCUUAGAUAUGACGAAGAACUCCGAUUGCGAAGGCAGCUGACGGGAGCGCAACUGACGCUUAAGCUCGAAGGUGCGGGUAUCAAACAGG
rnacentral:rRNA from 1 species